rnacentral:rRNA from 1 species
CUGCUGCCUUCCGUAGGAGUCUGGGCCGUGUCUCAGUCCCAGUGUGGGGGGCCUUCCUCUCAGAACCCCUACGCAUCGUCGCCACGGUGGGCCGUCACCCCGCCGUCUAGCUAAUGCGCCGCAUGCCCAUCCGCCACCGGAUCGCUCCUCUGGCCACCCGGAGGAUGCCCUCCGGUGGCGUCACGGGGUAUUAGGCCGCGUUUCCGCGGGUUAUCCCCCUGUGGCGGCCCAGGUUGCAUACGUGUUACUCACCCGUGCGCCGGUCG